AUUGAACGCUGGCGGCAUGCCUAACACAUGCAAGUCGAGCGAGCGGCGAACGGGUGAGUAAUGUCUGGGAAACUGCCUGAUGGAGGGGGAUAAAUACUGGAAAACGUAGCUAAUUCCGCAUACCAUCUGAUUUUCCCAGAUGGGAUUAGCUAGUAGGUGGGGUAACGGCUAACCUAGUCGACGAUACCUAGCUGGUUUGAGAGGAUGACCAGCAACACUGGAACUGAGACACGGCCCAGACUCCUACGGGAGGCAGCAGUGGGGAAUAUUGGGCAAUGGGCGCAAGUCUGACGCAGCAAUGCCGCGUGUGUGAAGAAGGCCUUCGGGUUGUAAAGCACUUUCAGCGGGGAGGCGUUACCCGCAGAAGAAGCACCGGCUAACUCCGUGCCAGCAGCCGCGGUAAUAC
rnacentral:rRNA from 1 species